AGUCUGUUGAGAUGUUAUAAUAGAUGAACUCUGCUCAAUGAUACAUAGAUAUUUAAUAGCCGCAGUAAACUGACUGUGCUAAGGUAGCAUAAUAAUUUGUCCUUUAAUUAGGGUCUGGAAUGAAUGGAAUCAUAUAUAGAAUCUGUCUCAAAUUACAUUUAUUUUAAUUUACUUAGCAGGUGAAAAUACCCGCUUUUUUUAAUGAUAGACGAGAAGACCCUUAGAAUUUUUAUUAUAUACUUAUAUACGAAUAAAAUGAUUAAGUAUUUUAUUUUCGUUGGGGCGACGUGUAUUCAAUAUUUAACAAUAUCUUUCGUUUAAUAACACAUGUCCACUUUUAUAGUUGGUAAGAUUAAAUUACCUGAGGGAUAACAGCAUAAUAUUAAAAAUAAGUUUAUGACCUCGAUGUUGGACUAGGAUAAAUAAUGGUCAGAAACCAUUAUUAGUAAGUUCUGUUCGAACUAAAAUUCUCCU
rnacentral:rRNA from 1 species